rnacentral:rRNA from 1 species
UAGGGAAUCUUCGGCAAUGGGCGAAAGCCUGAUCCAGCAAUGCCGCGUGUGUGAAGAAGGUCUUCGGAUUGUAAAGCACUUUCGACGGGGACGAUGAUGACGGUACCCGUAGAAGAAGCCCCGGCUAACUUCGUGCCAG